CGAGACCUNAUGUCAGGCGG
rnacentral:rRNA from 1 species